UCCCGUGACGUCACGCCCGGACGGCCGAGCGCGAGCGGCCGCGUUCCGCUUCCCCUUAGGUCGCCCGGGCGGCGACGCGCCAUACACAGAAACCGCCAGCGUCCGAGGCCGAGUCGUCCUGGCGGUCCACCUCCCCGCGGACUCGCAGGCUGGGCGCUGCGGGCGCCGUGAGCCCGAAGCAGACGCGGCAGGGGAGGGCCCGACGGGCAGGCGGCAGGCGGCGCCGAGCGAGCCUCCCUCCGCGGCCGAGGAGCCAGAGCGCCGGGUUCCAGCGCGCGCAGGCGGUGGCGGAGCAGGCGACCGGGCCCGGAAGGUCGAGACGCUGCGGAACGGUGGUUCUACAAGAAAGCAGGUGCCUUGUGUUGUGAGCAGUUGGUGAGCGCUCUCCGGGCGAGGUCAGCUGCAGUGGGCUGCGGAGCCCUGGGCGUGCUGGUGAUGUGCUCAGGAAGACUGACCCUGGAGUCAAGGAGGCUGCAGCCUGGGCGCUCCAUGUAUUUCAAGACGUAAUUCAGGGAUCGAACUCGCGUCCUUCUGCUUGCGCAGCAGGCAGCGAAACCACUGAGCUAAAUCCCCGGCCCAAGGAAUGACUUUUGGAAGGCUAUUAGAUCACAGCUAACUUGCUCUUCAAAGAACUGUCACAAGCUGUGGUGGAUGCGGGAGCUGUUCCUCUUUUAGUACUCACUCUGUAUCCAGGAGCCAGAAAUCGCUUUGAAAAGGAUUGCUGCUUCGGAUCCUCAGUGACAUUUCAAAGCAUUCUCCAGAGCUAGCGCAGACAGUAGUGGACACAGGAGCUAUUGCUCAACCCUGAUGCUCAAUUGAAGUGUCAAAGAGCCAUAAAAUGGAGCUGGGGAUUUAGCUCAGUGGCGCCCCACCUGCCUGGUGCUGCCACAUGAUAGCGAAGCUCAUUUUUUGUAUCAAGUGGUGGACUCAAAGUUCAAGCGAUACAAGCAGAGCCUGGUCCUCUCUUUCAAGAAUACAUCAUCAGUAUGAGCUGUUGUUACUCAGAGGAAGUAGCAAAGUACCGUUUGUUCCCCCGGAUAUUCACACACACCUCUGUGGAGAGACAGCUAAUCGACCACUUAUCAACUAAACAAAGCCAUGCUUUUAUACUGAAACUCACAGCAGUGUAUUCAUGAGUAACAUUUGUUAAAGUUCUUUCUAAAUAUUUGGACUAACUCUAGAUUUAUUCAGUGCAAAAUACCUUUAGAUAAUAUUUUCAGGGCCGGGGAUUUAGCUCAGUGGUUUUGCUGCCUGCUGCUCAAGCGCGAGGACCUGAGUUCAAUCCCGGGUACCAAAAAAAAAAAAAAAAAAUUCAAAAUUUAACAUUUGAAAAAUUAGUAGCUU